CUCCGGUUGAUCCCGCCGGACCCGACUGCUAUCAGAGUGGGACUAAGCCAUGCGAGUCAACGUAGCAAUACGUGGCAUACGGCUCAGUAACACGUAGUCAACAUGCCCAGGGGACGAGGAUAACCUCGGGAAACUGAGGAUAAACCUCGAUAGGCCAUGAUUUCUGGAAUGAUUCUUGGCUCAAACCUAUAUGGCCCCUGGAUUGGACUGCGGCCGAUCAGGCUGUUGGUGAGGUAAUGGCCCACCAAACCUAUUACCGGUACGGGCUCUGAGAGGAGGAGCCCGGAGAUGGGCACUGAGACAAGGGCCCAGGCCCUAUGGGGCGCAGCAGGCGCGAAACCUCUGCAAUAGGCGAAAGCUUGACAGGGUUACUCUGAGUGAUUUCCGCUAAGGGAAUCUUUUGGCACCUCUAAAAAUGGUGCAGAAUAAGGGGUGGGCAAGUCUGGUGUCAGCCGCCGCGGUAAUACCAGCACCCCGAGUGGUCGGGACGAUUAUUGGGCCUAAAGCAUCCGUAGCCGGUCCUGCAAGUCUUCCGUUAAAUCCAGCUGCUCAACAGAUGGGCUGCGGGAGAUACUACAGGGCUAGGAGGCGGGAGAGGCAAGCGGUACUUUAUGGGUAGGGGUAAAAUCCGCUGAUCCAUAGAAGACCACCAGUGGCGAAGGCGGCUUGCCAGAACGCGCUCGACGGUGAGGGAUGAAAGCUGGGGGAGCAAACCGGAUUAGAUACCCGGGUAGUCCCAGCUGUAAACGAUGCAGACUCGGUGAUGGGUUGGCCUCGCGCCUGCCCAGUGCCGCAGGGAAGCCGUUAAGUCUGCCGCCUGGGGCGUACGGUCGCAAGACUGAAACUUAAAGGAAAUGGCGGGGGACA
rnacentral:rRNA from 1 species